rnacentral:rRNA from 1 species
GGCCAGACUCCUACGGGAGGCAGCAGUGGGGGAUAUUGCACAAUGGGGGAAACCCUGAUGCAGCGACGCCGCGUGGGUGAAGAAGCGCCUCGGCGCGUAAAGCCCUGUCAGCAGGGAAGAAAAUGACGGUACCUGAAGAAGAAGCCCCGGCUAACUACGUGCCAGCAGCCGCGGUAAUACGUAGGGGGCGAGCGUUAUCCGGAUUCACUGGGUGUAAAGGGAGCGUAGACGGCCAUGCAAGCCAGGGGUGAAAGCCCGGGGCCCAACCCCGGGACUGCCCUUGGAACUGUGCGGCUAGAGUGCGGGAGGGGCAGGCGGAAUUCCUAGUGUAGCGGUGAAAUGCGUAGAUAUUAGGAGGAACACCAGUGGCGAAGGCGGCUUGCUGGACUGUAACUGACGUUGAGGCUCGAAAGCGUGGGGAGCAAACAGGAUUAGAUACCCUCGUAGGC